rnacentral:sRNA from 1 species
AGAAAGAAGAAGAAAAAAACACUCAUUAGAGUUCAU